rnacentral:rRNA from 1 species
AAGAAUUAAAGAGCCGCGGUAUAUUGACCGUGCAAAGGUAGCAUAAUCAUUAGUUUUUUAAUUGGAAACUUGUAUGAAUGGUUGGACAAAAGAGAAGCUGUCUAUGUAGUAAUUAUUGAAUUUAACUUUUAAGUGAAAAGGCUUAAAUAAUUUAAAGGGACGAUAAGACCCUAUAAAACAUUUUAUUGGGGCGAUAAAGGUAUAAAUAUUAACUGCUUAAAAUUAAAACAAUAAUAUUUGAAAUGAUCCUUUAUAGAGAAUAAAAGACUAAGUUACUUUAGGGAUAACAGCGUAAUUUCUUUUGAGAGCUCAUAUCGAAAAAGAAGAUUGCGACCUCGAUGUUGAAUUAAAAUGUCUAUUUAGGGCAGCCCUUAGAUAAGAAGAUCUGUUCGAUCUUUAAAUUUUU